rnacentral:rRNA from 1 species
UACGUAGGUGGCAAGCGUUGUCCGGAUUUACUGGGCGUAAAGGAUGCGUAGGUGGAUAUUUAAGUGGGAUGUGAAAUACCCGGGCUUAACUUGGGUGCUGCAUUCCAAACUGGAUAUCUAGAGUGCAGGAGAGGAAAGUGGAAUUCCUAGUGUAGCAGUGAAAUGCGUAGAUAUUAGGAGGAACACCAGUGGCGAAGGCGGCUUUCUGGACUGUAACUGACACUGAGGCAUGAAAGCGUGGGGAGCAAACAGG